GAUUAUGGCUCAGGACGAACGCUGGCGGCGUGCUUAACACAUGCAAGUCGAACGAGGAUAUGUCGGAGGAGAGCUUCGGCAGGAAUCAGGCAUAUUCGAGUGGCGGACGGGUGAGUAACGCGUGAGCAACCUGUCCCAGACAGGGGGAUAACACUUGGAAACAGGUGCUAAUACCGCAUAAGACCACGGUAUCACAUGGUAGUGGGGUAAAAGGAGCAAUCCGGUUUGGGGUGGGCUCGCGUCCGAUUAGAUAGUUGGUGAGGUAACGGCCCACCAAGUCGACGAUCGGUAGCCGACCUGAGAGGGUGAUCGGCCACAUUGGAACUGAGAGACGGUCCAAACUCCUACGGGAGGCAGCAGUGGGGAAUAUUGGGCAAUGGGCGAAAGCCUGAACCCCAGCAACGCCGCGUGAGUGAAGAAGGCCUUCGGGUUGUAAAGCUCUGUUAUAGUUGACGAAGGAAGUGACGGUAGGCUAUAAGGAAGCCCCGGCUAACUACGUGCCAGCAGCCGC
rnacentral:rRNA from 1 species